GACCUCGGAUCAGGUAGGGAUACCCGCUGAACUUAAGCAUAUCAAUAAGCGGAGGAAAAGAAACCAACAGGGAUUGCCUUAGUAACGGCGAGUGAAGCGGCAACAGCUCAAAUUUGAAAUCUGGCCUCAUGGUCCGAAUUGUAAUUUGUAGAGGAUGCUUCGAGCAUGGUCUGGUCUAAGUUCCUUGGAACAGGACGUCAUAGAGGGUGAGAAUCCCGUAUGCGACUAGGUGCCUAAGCUCAUGUGAAGCUCCUUCGACGAGUCGAGUUGUUUGGGAAUGCAGCUCAAAAUGGGUGGUAAAUUUCAUCUAAAGCUAAAUACUGGCCAGAGACCGAUAGCGCACAAGUAGAGUGAUCGAAAGAUGAAAAGCACUUUGGAAAGAGAGUUAAACAGUACGUGAAAUUGUUGAAAGGGAAGCGCUUGCAACCAG
rnacentral:rRNA from 1 species